GCCCGGAUGGCUCAGUCGAUAGAGCGUCCGCCUGGCGAGCGGAAGGUCCCAGGUUCGAAUCCCGGUCUAGCCC